rnacentral:rRNA from 1 species
GUGGGCUUAUAAUUAUCUUUAAUAUUCUUCCA